GCAGAGACCUUCACAGGAGGGCCUCUAAGAGCCUCAGCUGAAUUUAUUUGGCUGACAAAGAAAAACAACUUCCUGAGCUGCCUGUUUGAUAACCCCUCAGCAGGGCUAAAUGAUGUCUU
ensembl:misc_RNA